rnacentral:rRNA from 1 species
UACGGGGGGAGCAAGCGUUGUUCGGAUUUACUGGGCGUAAAGAGCUCGUAGGCGGCUUGUUGCGUCGACUGUGAAAACCCGCGGCUUAACUGCGGGCUUGCAGUUGAUACGGGCAGGCUAGAGUUCGGUAGGGGAGACUGGAAUUCCUGGUGUAGCGGUGAAAUGCGCAGAUAUCAGGAGGAACACCGGUGGCGAAGGCGGGACUCUGGGCCGAUACUGACGCUGAGGAGCGAAAGCGUGGGGAGCAAACAGG